GACGAACGCUGGCGGCGUGCUUAACACAUGCAAGUCGAACGGAAAGGCCCUGCUUUUGUGGGGUGCCCGAGUGGCGAACGGGUGAGUAACACGUGAGUAACCUGCCCUUGACUUUGGGAUAACUUCAGGAAACUGGGGCUAAUACCGGAUAGGAGCUCCUGCUGCAUGGUGGGGGUUGGAAAGUUUCGGCGGUUGGGGAUGGACUCGCGGCUUAUCAGCUUGUUGGUGGGGUAGUGGCUUACCAAGGCUUUGACGGGUAGCCGGCCUGAGAGGGUGACCGGCCACAUUGGGACUGAGAUACGGCCCAGACUGCUACGGGAGGCAGCAGUGGGGAAUAUUGCACAAUGGGCGGAAGCCGGAUGCAGCAACGCCGCGUGCGGGAUGACGGCCUUCGGGUUGUAAACCGCUUUCGCCUGUGACGAAGCGUGAGUGACGGUAAUGGGUAAAGAAGCACCGGCUAACUACGUG
rnacentral:rRNA from 1 species